ensembl:ncRNA C26C6.14 ncRNA
CUCUUUGCAACAACUGAAUUCCCCACGCUUCCGCGGAAGCUUUCCUCAUUUACAUAUUCUAGCAGAAGCUGAUCGAUUUUUUCGAACAGUUCAAAAAUAU